UACGGAGGAUGCGAGCGUUAUCCGGAUUUAUUGGGUUUAAAGGGUGCGCAGGCGGCACGGCAAGCCGGCGGUCAAAUCGCGGGGCUCAACCCCGCCCAGCCGUCGGAACUGCCGGGCUAGAGUGGGCGAGAAGUGCGCGGAAUGCGUGGUGUAGCGGUGAAAUGCAUAGAUGUCACGCAGAACUCCGAUUGCGAAGGCAGCGCACCGGCGCCCUACUGACGCUCAGGCACGAAAGCGUGGGUAUCGAACAGG
rnacentral:rRNA from 1 species